rnacentral:tRNA from 1 species
GUUUUAAUAAUUUAAUAAAAAUAUUGAUUUUGUAAAUCAAAUUUGAGAUACCUCUUAAAUCA